rnacentral:rRNA from 1 species
UACGUAGGGGGCGAGCGUUAUCCGGAAUUACUGGGCGUAAAGCGUGCGCAGGCGGUGAUGUAAGACAGUUGUGAAAUCCCCGGGCUCAACCUGGGAACUGCAUCUGUGACUGCAUCGCUGGAGUGCGGCAGAGGGGGAUGGAAUUCCGCGUGUAGCAGUGAAAUGCGUAGAUAUGCGGAGGAACACCGAUGGCGAAGGCAAUCCCCUGGGCCUGCACUGACGCUCAUGCACGAAGGCGUGGGGAGCAAACAGG